AGGAAGCUUUGAGGCGGCAGGAGGAGUAUAACAAGCAACAACAAGAGUACUGGGCUGCUCAAUUUGCACGACAGCAGGAGAUGAUGCAGCAAAUAGCACUAGGGCAACGUCCAGAUUUUUCAGCGAUGACUAUGCCACCUCCUCCACCUAUCCCGCAGUUUGUACCGACUCCACAAUUUAGUUGGCCCACACCUGCACCUCAGGUCCCUCCAGGAAACUUGCUAACUCCGCGAAAUGAG